GGAAAGGGGUGGGCAGAGUGGUGGGAGGUACAGGCCAAACUGAGCCGGAGAGGCAUCCACGGUCACACAGCGGGAGGGGGUUCCCCACGCCCAGCAUGCUUUAGACAUUAUCCACAGACUUCCCACUACGGAAGAUGAGAAUGUAGCUGUCUCACGUAUUCUCACCUCCUGUCUCCUGAUGCCCCCAGCUACUUCCCUCCUCUCAUGCAUCCAGCACAGAUGUGUAAUAAUUGGAGGGUCCCUUGGGAAGCCCCUGUCCUUCUGCUCUGAUGUUUUUUGGUUGCUCUCUAAGCCUGCAGCCUUGCCAUCCUCCUGAGAUGUCUCAGCACCAGCCUGCAGGUUCCCUUCAUCUGUCUCCUGUAUCAGAUUCCAAGCUGCCUGGAUUCCACAACCUCUCUCUUUGUUUCCCUUCAUCAUUUUGAUGAGUACAUCCUCUGCUUGCUUUUGAAGAAAGGUUGCAGAGGAGGGCAGGACAAUAUUGGGUAGAGGUGGUGGAACAGCUGACAUCUAUUUCUUGUUCCUGAUUACAAAGAGAGUACUUCUAUUUUUGUCUUGUUUCUAAUUAUUAGGAAGAUGCCUCUGUAAAGAAAUUGUUCACUGUGGAGUAUAAUGUUUGCAGGUUUUUAAACAGUUGUUAUUAAUUAGAUUAAACAAAUUUUUUUUCUAUGCCAAGUUUGCUUAAAAGUUUUCAGUGAGAAUAAAU
rnacentral:lncRNA from 1 species